AUAUGAUGCUGCAAUUUGCGAAAAGCACCUUUAUAGAAGCAAAGGGAUUUUUUUUUGCAUUUUGUAUUGCUACCUUUCUAUUUGUUUCUUUUCUUUAAUUUGAAGUCUAUGAGACUGUUGCAUUGGAGCCAGAAAUUAAGACGGAGUCUCGCUCGGUUGCCCAGGCUGGAGUGCGGUGGCACAAUCUCGGCUCACUGCAACCUCCGCCUCCCGGGUUCAAGCGAUCCUUCUGCUUCAGCCUCCCGAGUAGCUGGGACUACAGGUGCAUCUCAGAUGCCUUCCAGCAUGUGAAGGACACCAUUGCAUUGGCUCUCACCACCACCAUGCCCUCCUCCUUACCCAGGGUGAAGCAUGAAUCUGCACAUGGGGAGGCUUCAGAGGACAACUGAGACAAGAAGCAGGAAGCUGAGAAAGGAGGACACCUCCCACACACACAUCUAGCAAAAGCUGGACAUUUCUGGUCAGUCAUCCUUAUGCAAAGACUUUCUGGAAGGAGCAGUUAUUCUUGGGUGAGCACUUAUGUAGCAUGAAAGAGGUUAACAUUAGCCCAGGGAAAUCCUUCAA
ensembl:lncRNA novel transcript